rnacentral:misc_RNA from 1 species
GAUGAAGAACGCAGCGAAAUGCGAUAAGUAAUGCGAAUUGCAGAAUUCAGUGAGUCAUCGAAUCUUUGAACGCACAUUGCGCCCUGUGGUAUUCCGCAGGGCAUGCCUGUUCGAGCGUCAUUUCAACCCUCAAGCCCCGCUUGGUGUUGGGCCCCGCCCGCCGUGGCCGGCCCUAAAGACAGUGGCGGCGCCGCCUGGCCCUCAGCGUAGUACAGCUCUCGCUCCAGGGUCCGGCGGCCGCCUGCCAGAACCCCCCAACUCUGUGGUUGACCUCGGAUCAGGUAGGGAUACCCGCUGAACUUAAGCAUAUCAAUAGCGGAGGA